GGAGGCCAUGGCUUAGGGGUAGAGCGUCUUCUUUGCAUGCAGAAGGUCAUAAGUUCAAUCCCUGUCAUCUCCA
rnacentral:tRNA from 1 species